GUGGGGAAUAUUGGACAAUGGGCGAAAGCCUGAUCCAGCCAUGCCGCGUGUGUGAAGAAGGUCUUCGGAUUGUAAAGCACUUUAAGUUGGGAGGAAGGGCAGUAAGUUAAUACCUUGCUGUUUUGACGUUACCGACAGAAUAAGCACCGGCUAACUUCGUGCCAGCAGCCGCGGUAAUACGAAGGGUGCAAGCGUUAAUCGGAAUUACUGGGCGUAAAGCGCGCGUAGGUGGUUUUGUAAGUUGGGGGUGAAAUCCCCGGGCUCAACCUGGGAACUGCCUCCAAAAGUGCAUGACUAGAGUACGGUAGAGUGUAGUGGAAUUUCCUGUGUAGCGGUGAAAUGCGUAGAUAUAGGAAGGAACACCAGUGGCGAAGGCGACUACCUGGACUGAUACUGACACUGAGGUGCGAAAGCGUGGGGAGCAAACAGUAUUACAUACCCUUCUAGGCC
rnacentral:rRNA from 1 species